AAGAGAAGGGUUUUUCAUUUGAGAAAAGGUGAAAGUUCUUGACUUCAUAUGAGGGAAAAAUCAUAUGGUAAGAUCUAUAAUAGCAAUUCCAUGAAGUUAUAAAAACAGACAAAUUAGAAUUAUUUUGCUGUGGCACUUCAAACUAAAAGAAUUAUGGCCAUGAUGAAAAGUUCUUAGGUAAGAUGUAAAAGGCACUAAACUAUAGCAUUCAGUUUUGUACACCAACUAAAAUAUUUUUAAAAAAGAAUUUUAGGCUGGGCGAUGGCGGCACAUGCCUUUAAUCCCAGCACUCAGGAAGCAGAGGCAGGCUGAUCUCUGAACUCGAGGCCAGCCUGGUCUACAGAGUGAGCUCCAGGACAGCCAGGACAACACAGAGAAACCCUGUCUUGAAAAACCAAAACCAAAACCAAACAAACAACAAAAACUACAGGAUUCAGUACUAUGCACAGACUCGGGGACCUACUGGCUACGUUGGAACUCUCAAGAGGACUCCUGUAUUGGUAAAAUAGGAUCAGCUCUGCCUCCCAAAAAUUGUAGAGAUUGUAAUUGAGAUAGUGCAGGCAGAGUUCAGCUGGAUGAUGCCUAGCUCAUAGUAAACGUCCAAUUCACAGUUAUUGGUAUCUACUCCUACCUUUAAGCUUCUCAACCUUUGCAUAGGAUUAAGAGUCUCAUGAGCCAAAAUUUUGCUUUCCUCUCCUAGCUCUAUUUCAUCUCCUCUUCCUUAGGAGAGUCUGAGGAGAAACAAAAGCAAAGUCUAACUCUAAGAAGUAAGAGCCUGAGAGAAAGGGGCUUAGAGAGUGAUCCUUCAUAUCUCCAGGAGUCUCCCUGAGGAAGCUGAGGAAUGGGCUUGGGAAAGUAGACAAAUAGGAAAACCUUCUCUUCCCUGGGGCUGGGGACGAGAAGAAAGUGCACAGCUGACUACACAGCACAGAAUUGUGUAAGGAUGUGUUUACAAGUCUCCAAAGACUAGAUGGCGUUGUCCAGGACUGGAGAAAUGGGAGUGGGACCUGAGGGAGGAGGGGGCGAGGAAGGGGUACCCUCAAGAGGCACCAGCUGCCAUCAGAUGCUCCCGGAGAGUCUCGGGAGCAGAGGUUAAGUUCUCUGGGCGUCAGCUUUGGGGAAAAGUCUGCUGUGCCAGUAAUCAGGGUUGUCGAAGGCAGAGUCGGUGGCUUCUAAACUACGCAGAGUUUUGAGGCGGGCAUAGCGAACGUGGGGGGCAUGAUGGCCAGGCCCCUGGAAAGCUCGCAUUUCUUCAUACCCUUGUUCAGCUGCUGGGCAGGCCCCCAUGGCUGCAUAGUCCCCCCCGGCACCACCCACACCCCGCCUACGGUUCAUAUACUCAUAGUCCUCAUCUGGAGUUGUGCCAGCAGAGGGCAUGAUGGCCAUAGGAUGGAGUGGGCAACUCUGCGUACUGCCCAGAGAGGCACUGAGGUCUGAGCCCACAUCCAUGUACUCAUAACCCAGCUCCUCAAGGGAACCAGGCCUAGGAGGCCGAGGUGGGCUGCUCCUUCUCUUCCGGUUCAUGUAUUCAUACUCCUCGUCUUCGUCUUCUUCUUCAGUACCCAGCACAGAACUGAGUCCUACUGAAGAAAGGGUACCUUCCCGGGAGGAGGAUGUACCUGUGGUUGAGAAAAAUUUCAAGUCUGGUAUUUCAGCCAGUCUCAGCCCCGCAUAGGGCUCUGCCCCGAAAGUCAUCAACUCCCACACCGUAACACCUGAUAUAGAAAGAAAUUAACUAGUCAGCCACACCAAAAUCUGCCACCUGGACCUGACUCGGUGACUUGAGCAGCACAUUCCGGAGAGCGAGGUCCCUGUGCACCAUACUAUGUUCCUCCAGGUGCUGUCAUGGGCCUCCUCCAGACCCCUCUCACCUUGGCAAUCUGUACUCCCCAGUUGAGCAGCAGCUGAGGCCCCAGCGCCCCACGGUGCUGUCUCACAUAGUCAAGGAGGGAGCCCAGAGGCAAGUAUUGUGUGACAAGCUGCAGAGAUGAUCCUGGGCAUAGUCCCAGAAGCCGUACAAUGUGGGCAUGGUCUAGGCUACCAAUGGCCAGCAUAUGCUGCAAAACAUAAGAGGUAUUAGCCAGGAAGUAACGUGUUCACAUACACUCCACAAAAAGCACACCCAACCCAGAGGUCCCUCUAACAUGCCUAACGUGGACCUAACACACCAUCUGCCAACACAGGAUCAUAUGUCUACAUGCCUGGACCCAACACUGCCUCUCUUCUAGCGGCAGACGGAAUUGCCUCUUUCACUUACAUCAGUCACAGAUUGAAAACUUUGGCGCCCACUCUUGUCUUCGAUGACUUUAAUGCAGACUGGAAUCUUGAUGGAUUCACCCUCAGGGAUCCAAACCCCCUAGAAAGGUUGGGAUGGACAUGGAGUAAAAAAUAAGUCUUUUCCUGUCAGUCUUCUGCCAAAAUUCUUCUCCCAUUUCCCCCUCCAUCUUUUUCCCACUUCUGCAGGCUUCCUGUGAAUUCCUCACCUUGUGCACAGUUCCAAAGACACCAGAGCCCAAUACUUUAAGCUUCCUCAGCUCUGUCUCUUUGAAGAUUCUGGCCAAGACUUUGUUUGCUUUCUCGCUGGGGUCCAGAGGCUCGAUGCUCUGAGGUGCAGACAGAAAGGAGGUGCUCAGAAAAGCCUACUCCCACAAUCCCAGUCCCACCUACUCCCCAUAGGCGGAUGCCGAGGGCGGCAGAGCCCAGAGCAGAGGGCAGGAAGAAACACUGUCUUUAGUCCUGGAAAGCAUCACAGUGGAGGAACAGUGGGCCCUUCAGGAACACUAGGACUGAAGCAGCUGGUCUGAUGAGAAAGACCCAGAGGGCUGGUUUUCCUCUGAGCAGCACAAGGAGAGGAGGUAUGGUCUGUUCCACCUUUCCCAAGAGGCUAGGUCUGUUUUUC